rnacentral:lncRNA from 1 species
AGGAAAAUUGUUGAGCUUUCUCAGUCCAAUUUGCCAUUGCUUGUUUUUACUGCCUCGAAUAUGGAUCAAUAAGGCAAUCUCUCGACAUAGCAAAUCCUCCACAUAUGUAGCGCCUUCAAAUCGAAUAUGGUUUCUUGCUUUCCAAAUAAGUGCAGUUGUAGUUAUGAAUGCAGCAGCUGUUAUCGAAUUAUGCCAUUGCCUGCUCUUAGCUAUACUGCAUAUCCAAUUGAGUUCAGAAUCCCAACAGCUAAUAGUUCGAGAAUAUCCCAGCCAAUUGCAUAUUCUUUUCCAUAAACUAUUAGUGCUAUGGCAGCCAAAGAACAGAUGAUUAAAGUCUUCCACAUGUAGAUUGCAAAAUGCACAGUCCACUGGAAUUUGAAUGCCCAACACCAGCAGUCUAUCCACGGUAGGAAGGCUAUGAUGAUCAGCAAGCCAAACAGUGAAUUUGUGUCUAGGAAGUACAUUGCCAAUUAAUAACAAAUUUUUCCAUGUAACCUUUGUAAAGCAGGGAAGCAAUGAUAUAUAAAGUUUCUGUAUGCUAAACUUGUUAUGCUUGCAUACACUAUGCAAUCGAACAGUAAGAUCACCAUGCAACUGAGGGCAUUCC